rnacentral:rRNA from 1 species
AAGCGGUGGAUGAUGUGGCUUAAUUCGAGGCUACGCGAAGAACCUUAUCCUAGUCUUGACAUGCACGGAUUAACUCCUGGAAACAGGAGCCAGGCCUUCGGGUACAACGUGCACAGGUGCUGCAUGGCUGUCGUCAGCUCGUGUCGUGAGAUGUCGGGUUAAGUCCCUUAACGAGCGAAACCCUUGUCUCUAGUUGCCAGCGGGUCAUGCCGGGAACUCUAGAGAGACUGCCGGUGUUAAACCGGAGGAAGGUGGGGAUG